GUGUCUCCAGCACUAAUUCUGCAUAAUGUGGCAGCAGCUGAGGGAACCAGGUUUGCUGGAGUAAUUGUGGUGAUAGCAAUGUACCAACCUCAGAAGCUACUGAGAUGUCCAUUCUGUCACAGUACAGUC
ensembl:snoRNA Gm25877 predicted gene, 25877